UAUGCGAAUUCCACUAAUAUUGACUCAUGAUGAAAGGAACAAAAAUGUUGUCUUGUUGGACAGCGCAACGGAAAGCUCUUCUACUUGAACAAAAGUGAGAAAUGAUGAUUUCGAUUCUGACCAAUGAAGAGUUUUGCUUGUUGUUUUCGGACGUUUUUUCAUGGAAGCUUCAUGAUUUGGGUUAGUGAGAUCCUCCAAAGGCAGUUUUUUCGGCCAAAGUUUGCUAGAUCAGUUUCACACCUAACUGAUCAGGAAGCUUACCUGGAGGAAUGAAGUUGACUGCUAUGGAGGGUAACAGUGUGUAAUCGUGCUUAAAGUUUCAUUAGAAGAUGGUCUGAAUGUGGGCUACUUCUUGGUUUUCCAUUAUUUUCCGGGUUACCACUUCAUUGUUUAAAUAUUUGGAACUACUGGUUGUGAAAAGAUCAAGUUCGGCAGUGACAUUGGCAAGGGAAGAAAAAGAGCAACGACUUAUCCGGAAACAACUACUAUGGCUGAGCUGCUUCAAAAAACUGAGAUAAAUUCAGUCAAGAGAAAGUGUAAAACAUCUGCUGCACCAGAGUCUGGAAAGGUAACACACAAUACAAAUAUUACCAACUUUGCAACAAACAUUGAUGCUGACACUGGGAAGGGACAAUCAGUACAUUCAGCUAUAAUGUGGAUGAAUCAUUUUGUAUGAUUGAUAGAGAUACUCAAUAUGAUCAAGAAGGCGUCAGGUCGUGCGAGCAUCUGUUAAGUUUUGAACUGCCAUCAAACAAACCUCUUGCACAAGGAACUAGCAGUCAUGACAAUGGCAAAAUUCCUUUGCCAUGAUGUUUGAAGCAGCUCAACCUGCGGUAGUUUCUUCCGGGUAAGUCCUUUCUCUUUUUAUUUCUUUGCCUAGUUGGCCCAUAUUCAUCCACCCUGGUGACUUACUUUUGCCUUUCUGUCCUGUUGGGGAUAAAAACAGUUAGCCCAGAUUUGUAUGGAGGUAACAACCAAAGAUUUUUUACCUACUAGACAGUAAGUGAAUCAUUUCUCAAAUAAAGCUAGCAUACAUAAAGAGUGUGUUUGGUAUGAAGGAAAACUGUCACGAUCUGAACUAGGGCCAAGCCGUGACAUGGCGAUUGAAACCCCGAAGGGAUCCAACCAAGCAUCUUGACAUAUC